rnacentral:rRNA from 1 species
CCUACGGGUGGCAGCAGUGGGGAAUAUUGGACAAUGGGGGCAACCCUGCUCCAGCCAUGCCGCGUGUGUGAAGAAGGCCCUCGGGUUGUAAAGCACUUUCAGUGAGGAAGAACGCCUGGUGGUUAAUACCCAUCAGGAAAGACAUCACUCACAGAAGAAGCACCGGCUAACUCCGUGCCAGCAGCCGCGGUAAUACGGAGGGUGCGAGCGUUAAUCGGAAUUACUGGGCGUAAAGCGCGCGUAGGUGGCUUGAUAAGCCGGUUGUGAAAGCCCCGGGCUCAACCUGGGAACGGCAUCCGGAACUGUCAAGCUAGAGUGCAGGAGAGGAAGGUAGAAUUCCCGGUGUAGCGGUGAAAUGCGUAGAGAUCGGGAGGAAUACCAGUGGCGAAGGCGGCCUUCUGGACUGACACUGACACUGAGGUGCGAAAGCGUGGGUAGCAAACAGGAUUAGAUACCCCGGUAGUC